UCGAGAAUCUUCCGCAAUGGACGAAAGUCUGACGGAGCGACGCCGCGUGGUUGAUGAAGUCCUUCGGGACGUAAAGACCUUUUAUGGAGGAGGAAAUUUUGACGUUACUCCAUGAAUAAGGGGCUCCUAACUCUGUGCCAGCAGGAGCGGUAAUACAGAGGCCCCAAGCAUUAUCCGGAAUCACUGGGCGUAAAGGGUGUGUAGGCGGUUGUGUUAGUCUUCCGUGAAAGAUCUUCGGCUUAACCGAGGAGACGCGGAGGAAACGGCACAACUCGAGGUUGCGAGAGGUAAAGGGAACUCAUAGUGUAGGGGUGAAAUCCGUUGAUAUUAUGGGGAACACCAAAUGCGAAGGCACUUUACUGGCGCACACCUGACGCUGAGACACGAAAGCGUGGGAAUCGAACGGGAUUAGAUACCCCCGUAGUCC
rnacentral:rRNA from 1 species